rnacentral:rRNA from 1 species
CCUACGGGGGGCAGCAGUGAGGAAUAUUGGUCAAUGGACGAGAGUCUGAACCAGCCAAGUGGCGUGAAGGAUGACUGCCCUAUGGGUUGUAAACUUCUUUUAUAAAGGAAUAAAACGAGGCACGUGUGCCUUUUUGCGUGUACUUUAUGAAUAAGGAUCGGCUAACUCCGUGCCAGCAGCCGCGGUAAUAUGGAGGAUCCGAGCGUUAUCCGGAUUUAUUGGGUUUAAAGGGAGCGUAGAUGGUUUGGUAAGUCAGUUGUGAAAGGUUGCGGCUCAACCGUAAAAUUGCAAUUGAUACUGGCAGUCUUGAGUAAAGUUGAGGUAGGCGGAAUUCGUGGUGUAGCGGUGAAAUGCUUAUAUAUCACGAAGAACCCCGAUUGCGAAGGCAGCUUACUAAACUGUGACUGACAUUGAUGCUCGAAAGUGUGGGUAUCAAACAGGAUUAGAUACCCUUGUAGUC